CUGAUCUUCCAGCCUGGCAAAGCUGGUGUUCAGAUGGUUUUAAAUGAUGGGUCAGCUGAUUUCCCCGUCAGGCUGGUCCAUGUUUUCUUAAAGACAAUGGAACCACCACACAUGAUGAGAGAACAUCUGAUGAGAUGCCCAAUACUAGUUCAGAGAGCAACAACCCACCUCGGAAUAAAGAAUCAGAAAACCUUUAUGAAAUAAAGGAUGGCGAGCUGCAAUCUAAAGUAUGAAAUGGGGUAAUUCUCGGAGCCCACAGAUCCAGUGGACCCACAACAACUUCCCCCACUCCUGGUCGACGGAGGUCGUUCAUAUCCUUUUACAUUUUAGCUAAUUUGUGCUACCCUUACGGGACUAUUUAACCCCAAAAUGAAAAGUCUGUCAUUAUUUACUCACCCUCAUGCUAUUCUAAAAAGAAUGCAUACAAAAGAAUAUAUUUUGAAAAAAUAUCUGAGCUGGGUUUUUUUUUUUUUUUCAUACAAUCAAUGGGGAUCAGAAAAAUCACUGAAAUUCAUAACAUUUAAGUGGUCCUUACUUUAAGAUGUGCCUAUGGCAAAUCCGCAUUUAACAUUUUCUGACUUGAAGAUCCACAUUGGAGAAAACAUCUGGCUCAGAGAAGAGGGGUGGAAGAAAA